GCGAAAGUGGCGGAAUUGGCAGACGCGCUGGAUUUAGGAUCCAGUCCCGCAAGGGGUGGGGGUUCAACUCCCCCCUUUCGCACCA
rnacentral:tRNA from 1 species